AAAUCGGGAGGGAUGGGGUCUGCGGUCGAAAACACUGACGAUCUGCUUCCUGGUCCAUGGGGUUGCAAAUGGGGAGGGAUGGAGUUUGUGGUCGAAAACACUCACGAUCUGCUUCCUCCUGGCUAAUGUGCCAAACUGACCUAUUGGAUGAUUGAGGCACGCUCUUUUCCUUGAUUGUGUGUGAAUACGUGAAAAGGGAGGUAAGGUUUGGGGGUAUGGAGCACGCCUAUGAUGACACCACUUUCAUUUUUUAAAAUUACUUUUACAAUUUUAUAGUUUGCAUUCUAUAUAUGGACAGAAAUACAGAGAAUAAUUUAUUUAACAUCAAAAACAUUUAUUAUAAUCUGAUAUAUACAUAAAAAUAUAUUUCUUUGGCUUGCAUCAUGUUUUGAA